GGAGGGGGUUAGCGUUGUUCGGAAUUACUGGGCGUAAAGCGCGCGUAGGCGGAUUAGAAAGUUGGGGGUGAAAUCCCGGGGCUCAACCUCGGAACUGCCUCCAAAACUGCUAGUCUAGAGUUCGAGAGAGGUGAGUGGAAUUCCGAGUGUAGAGGUGAAAUUCGUAGAUAUUCGGAGGAACACCAGUGGCGAAGGCGGCUCACUGGCUCGAUACUGACGCUGAGGUGCGAAAGUGUGGGGAGCAAACAGGAUUAGAUACCCUGGUAGUCCACACCGUAAACGAUGAAUGCCAGUCGUCGGGUAGUAUACUAUUCGGUGACACACCUAACGGAUUAAGCAUUCCGCCUGGGGAGUACGGUCGCAAGAUUAAAACUCAAAGGAAUUGACGGGGGCCCCCACAAGCGGUGGANCAUGUUGGUUUAAUUCCAAAGCAACCCCCAAAACCUUACCAACCCUUGACAUCCUGUUGCUACAUCCAAAANUGGAUGUUCCCUUCCGGGACGCAAUGACAGGUUCUGCAUGCUGUCCUCACUCCUN
rnacentral:rRNA from 1 species